rnacentral:rRNA from 1 species
CCUACGGGGGGCAGCAGUGAGGAAUAUUGGUCAAUGGACGAGAGUCUGAACCAGCCAAGUAGCGUGAAGGAUGACUGCCCUAUGGGUUGUAAACUUCUUUUAUAUGGGAAUAAAACGUUCCACGUGUGGGAUUUUGUAUGUACCAUAUGAAUAAGGAUCGGCUAACUCCGUGCCAGCAGCCGCGGUAAUACGGAGGAUCCGAGCGUUAUCCGGAUUUAUUGGGUUUAAAGGGAGCGUAGGUGGAUUGUUAAGUCAGUUGUGAAAGUUUGCGGCUCAACCGUAAAAUUGCAGUUGAAACUGGCAGUCUUGAGUACAGUAGAGGUGGGCGGAAUUCGUGGUGUAGCGGUGAAAUGCUUAGAUAUCACGAAGAACGCCGAUUGCGAAGGCAGUUCACUGGACUGCAACUGACACUGAGGCUCGAAAGUGUGGGUAUCAAACAGGAUUAGAUACCCUAGUAGUC